rnacentral:lncRNA from 1 species
UCUUUUGAAGCCCUUGGAAGGCAUCUGCCACGUGUCACUUUUCUAGCGCACCACAUACAUACAUUAUGUAGUCCAUAUUUUGGAUUUAUAUACUAUUAUAAGGGGUUGGAUCUACUUGAUCUACUUGAUUUUCUCCCUAUAUAUAUAGGAAAAGGUUCAAUGGAGAAAUGCAAAUGUUGUUAGAAAGGAGAAACAAUCUCAUCCACUCAAUUAACAUAAUCUAACGGUAUAUGAUCAAUUUU